UUAUUUAUUUGUAAUUUAAUGUCAGUGUAAUAUAGCGUUUAAAUGCACAUCAAAUAAAAAUAAAUAGAUGAAUAAAAUCGCUAGAUGUACGAUGUCAAUAACUGAUGUAAUUUGAAUUGGAAACCACUAGCAGCGCUGACGGACUUUUGGAGUACUGCGCAUGCGCGUCACUUUGAUCUGUAACGGUCGUCGGUCAACCCGGAGUUCUCGGAGGAAAAGAAGUUGAAGCGGAGAUAGUUUGUGCAACAGCAACAAGGUGCGGGUCCAAACCCAUCUGUCAAGACGCUUCUUUGUCCACAGUGCUGGAGAGCCUCUGACCACAAGUCAUAGAAAAGGGGAAUGUCAUAAUCAUCUGGAACAUCAUAUGAGGCAGCAAAGAUCAAAACUGACAGUGGUGGAGAAAGAAGAAGUGCCCUUGACAAGGAAACCGUGGCGGACAUAUAUGUAUGGAUUGGUGAAAGGAAAAUUUACUAGAAACAUUUAGUUAACUAAAAAAAUAACUGAUUUUUGUCUCGCAGUCAAGAAGAGAUUUCCAAAUGUGUCCAAAGAGGCUUUGAGGAUUUGAAC